rfam:Salmo salar isolate Sally breed double haploid chromosome ssa13, whole genome shotgun sequence.
GAAAUGUAUGCAUUCAAGUCGCUCUGGAUAAGAGCGUCUGCUAAAUGACUAAAA